rnacentral:rRNA from 1 species
AUUGAACGCUGGCGGCAGGCCUAACACAUGCAAGUCGAACGAGUGGCGGACGGGUGAGUAAUGUCUGGGAAACUGCCCGAUGGAGGGGGAUCACUACUGGAAACGGUAGCUAAUACCGCAUACCAUCGGAUGUGCCCAGAUGGGCUUAGCUAGUAGGUGGGGUAACGGCUCACCUAGGCGUCGAUCCCUAGCUGGUGUGAGAGGGUGACCAGCCACACGUGAACUGAGAUACGGUCCAGACACGUACGUGUGGCAUAAGUGAGGAAUAUUGCACAAUGGGGGCAAGCCUGAUGCAGACACGCCGCGUGUAUGAAGAAGGCCGUCGGGUUGUAAAGUACUUUCAGAGAGGAGGCGUUACUCGCAGAAGAAGCACCGGCUAACUCCGGGCCAGCAGCCGCGGUAAUUC